rnacentral:rRNA from 1 species
CCUACGGGUUGCAGCAGUGGGGAAUAUUGCGCAAUGGGCGAAAGCCUGACGCAGCGACGCCUCGUGAGGGAUGAAGGUCUUCGGAUCGUAAACCUCUGUCAAGAGGGAAGAAACCCUUGAGUUCGAAUAGGACUCUUGGCUGACGGUACCUCUAAAGGAAGCACCGGCUAACUCCGUGCCAGCAGCCGCGGUAAUACGGAGGGUGCAAGCGUUAAUCGGAAUCACUGGGCGUAAAGCGCUCGUAGGCGGUUUGGUUAGUCAGAUGUGAAAGCCCUCGGCUUAACCGGGGAACUGCAUUUGA